rnacentral:rRNA from 1 species
CCUACGGGCGGCAGCAGUGGGGAAUAUUGGACAAUGGGCGAAAGCCUGAUCCAGCCAUGCCGCGUGUGUGAAGAAGGCCUUCGGGUUGUAAAGCACUUUCAGUGGGGAAGAAAGCCUUGGGGCUAAUACCCUCGAGGAAGGACAUCACCCACAGAAGAAGCACCGGCUAACUCCGUGCCAGCAGCCGCGGUAAUACGGAGGGUGCGAGCGUUAAUCGGAAUUACUGGGCGUAAAGCGCGCGUAGGCGGUCUGAUAAGCCGGUUGUGAAAGCCCCGGGCUCAACCUGGGAACGGCAUCCGGAACUGUCAGGCUAGAGUGCAGGAGAGGAAGGUAGAAUUCCCGGUGUAGCGGUGAAAUGCGUAGAGAUCGGGAGGAAUACCAGUGGCGAAGGCGGCCUUCUGGACUGACACUGACGCUGAGGUGCCAAAGCGUGGGUAGCAAACAGGAUUAGAUACCCGAGUAGUC